UCAACAGAAUUAUAAGUUUUU
rnacentral:piRNA from 1 species